UACGUAGGGACCAAGCGUUGUUCGGAUUUACUGGGCGUAAAGGGCGCGUAGGCGGUCGUGACAAGUCACUUGUGAAAUCUCCGGGCUUAACUCGGAACGGUCAAGUGAUACUGUCGGACUAGAGUACAGAAGGGGCAACUGGAAUUCUCGGUGUAGCGGUGAAAUGCGUAGAUAUCGAGAGGAACACCUGCGGCGAAGGCGAGUCCCUGGACAACACCUGACACUGAGGCACGAAAGCUAGGGGAGCAAACAGG
rnacentral:rRNA from 1 species